rnacentral:lncRNA from 1 species
CACAGGAAGUGUGUAACUGCACCUCCCACGAUGCGCACCCGGCUCGCGGUGGUCGCUGCCCCGAGGAGGUGUGGACCAAUCCUCCUGCCAAACACGUGUGCACGCGACCCCGGUCUCCGCAGCCCGACAGGUGUGGGACCCAAGAUCCCUGCUUCGUUCUCCAGUGGGCAGCACCCGUUCUUUCCACUAGCCCAGGGCCUGCGGUCCCCGCUGCCCCUUGCAGUUCCAUACAGCUCUACCUCAACCCCGGCAGCAGACCUUGCGAAACAUUCCGUCGUCAGGUGUGUGACACCUGUUUCAAUGCACUAAGUGGAGUCAUACCCAGGCAUGUGCUGGAACACUUCUGAUCGACAGACGAGCAACCUACAAUCACCGCUGCCUGGUGGAAGUUUCUAACAACACAGGCACUCACCCCAUGGAGGGAACCGGACCACUGAAUAACACCUAAAACACACUAAGACCGGGGAAGCGUACAGUUGUGCGGGCUCUGCAAAACGGAGGUAAGGCUGGACCUAAUACAUGCUACCAGGCGCCCUCCACCUUUAUCUAGCAAACACUUUCCUAUCACUUACAUUGUUAAUUUACUUAAUCCUUAGAACUCUGUGAAGUGGGUAUAGUUAACAUUGCCAUUUUAUAGAUGAGAAAACUGAGGCACAGAAAAAUCUGCCCAAGAUCACAUAGGUAGCUAUGCGAGGAACUCAGAUUCAUCCCCGGCAGUCUGGCUCUGUGCUCUUAAUUUCCUUUCUACUUAAAGCACUGAGCAGCUCCAAAAUAAUAAUAAUGGUAAUAGAUAACAUUUCAAUCAUAGCUGAUUAGCCAUAUGUGGUGCUCACAUCUUGUCCUCCCUCCACCUGUGACACAGAAACCUCAAUCCCUUCUACUCUGGUGAAGGGAGAGAAUAUGACUGAGAAGAAGACUAUGACUAACUUUCAAACAAAGGAGAAGGGAUUCCUAAGAUCUUUGUCAACACUGCUGGUCUAGGCUGAAUUUAAAAAUCUGUAAACAUUUUUGAUAAAAUAAUGUGUCCAAAACAACCACCCAGGUAAUUGCCGCAUGUUUCCAAUAUGUAAUAAUCCUGCGGAGAAAUUGGAACCCUGUGCCCAAUAUAAAAUGGUGGAAAUAUAGAAUGGUGCAGCCAACAUGGAAAACACUGGAGGUUCCUCAAAAAACUAAAAACAUAAUUACUUUCUGAUCCAGAAAUCCCACCUCUGAGUAUAUAUCCAAAAGAAUUUGAAGCAACAACUUGAAGAAACAUUUGCGUACCCAUGUUCACUGUAGCAUUAUUCACAAUAGCCUAGAAGUGGAAGAAGCCCAAAUAUCCAUGAAUGGAUGAAUGGAUAAACAAAAUGUGGCAUAUACAUACAGUAGACUAUUAUUCAGUCUUAAAAAUCCUGUCACAUGCUACAACAAAGAUAAACCUUGAGGGCAUUAUGUCAAGUGAAAUAAACCAGUCAACAAAAGGACAAACACUGUAUUCCACUUAUAUAAGGUAACUAGAGUUGUCAAAAUCAUGGAACCAGAAAGGUACUGUGGUGGUUGGUUGCCAGGGACUGAGAAGGGAAACAUGGAGCGUUGUUUUUCCACGAGUAUAAUGUUUUAGUUUUGCAAGAUGAAAAAGCUCUAGAGAUCUGUUAGGCAACAAUCACUGAACUGUACACUUAAAAAUGGUAAAAAGGAUAGAUUUUAUAUUACUUAUUUGUUACUACAGUUAACUUUUCUAAUGCAAUCCCAUCUGUUUAAAGGAUAUUUCCAUCUUGAUGAGUUUUUUAUUUUAAUUUUUUUAAGUACAGUUGAUUUAUCUAUUUAUUUUUGGUCUUUUGUCUUUUUAGGGCCACACCCUUGGCAUGUGGAGGUUUCCAGGCUAGGGGUCUAAUCGGAGCUGUAGCCGCUGACCUACAGCACAGCUCACAGCAAUGCCCGAUCCUUAACCCACUGAGUGAGGCCAGAGAUCGAAUCUGCAACCUCAUG